UACGAAGGGGGCUAGCGUUGCUCGGAAUCACUGGGCGUAAAGCGCACGUAGGUGGCUUUUUAAGUCGGGGGUGAAAUCCUGGAGCUCAACUCCAGAACUGCCCUCGAUACUGGGAAGCUUGAGUUCGGGAGAGGUGAGUGGAACUGCGAGUGUAGAGGUGAAAUUCGUAGAUAUUCGCAAGAACACCAGUGGCGAAGGCGGCUCACUGGCCCGAUACUGACGCUGAGGCACGAAAGCGUGGGGAGCAAACAGG
rnacentral:rRNA from 1 species